UACGUAGGGUGCGAGCGUUAAUCGGAAUUACUGGGCGUAAAGCGUGCGCAGGCGGUGCACCAAGCUCGAUGUGAAAGCCCCGGGCUUAACCUGGGAAUUGCAUUGAGGACUGGUGUGCUCGAGUGCGGCAGAGGGGGGUGGAAUUCCACGUGUAGCAGUGAAAUGCGUAGAGAUGUGGAGGAACACCGAUGGCGAAGGCAGCCCCCUGGGCCGACACUGACGCUGAGGCGCGAAAGCGUGGGGAGCAAACAGG
rnacentral:rRNA from 1 species